rnacentral:rRNA from 1 species
GGUGAGUAAGGCCUAGGAAUAUGCCUGGUAGUGGGGGAUAACGUUCGGAAACGGGCGCUAAUACCGCAUACGUCCUACGGGAGAAAGCAGGGGACCUUCGGGCCUUGCGAUAUCAGAUGAGCCUAGGUCGGAUUAGCUAGUUGGUGAGGUAAUGGCUCACCAAGGCUACGAUCCCCCACUGGUCUGAGAGGAUGAUCAGUCACACUGGAAAGGGGACACGGUCCAGACUCCUACGGGAGGCAGCAGUGGGGAAUAUUG